UACGCCACAAAUGCUUCUCCUGUGCGGCUCGAGCCACAGAAGGUAACUUUUGAUAAUAACCUGUGAUACUAAUGUGGCCUUUUCACGCCUUUGGCUGGGAGAACCUUUGGUAUAAAGUUUGGUGGAUGUUACUGACGGAUGAGUUGUUAGCCGAGGAUGGGGCACAUAAUUUUGAGCAAAGAUGCUUUGAGGCAUGUUUGUUUCAGAUUAUGCACAUGUACAACAAUGGUACACCACGCGAAUUAAUGUGAAUCAGAUGAGAGUUCUUAUUUACCCUGCCAUCCUAGCUGAUUAUGUGGACUUUAUAAGGAUUUUUUUGCAGUCUACUUAUUUUAACUUUACGUCUAAGAUUAUUCGUAAAUCAUGUUCGAAUAAAAUGUACCCAAUGAUGUUUUAUCAUAAUAAAGCUUUAUUAAUUUAAA